rnacentral:rRNA from 1 species
UACGGAGGGAGCUAGCGUUGUUCGGAAUUACUGGGCGUAAAGCGCACGUAGGCGGCUUUGUAAGUUAGAGGUGAAAGCCCGGAGCUCAACUCCGGAACUGCCUUUAAGACUGCAUCGCUUGAAUCCAGGAGAGGUGAGUGGAAUUCCGAGUGAAGAGGUGAAAUUCGUAGAUAUUCGGAAGAACACCAGUGGCGAAGGCGGCUCACUGGACUGGUAUUGACGCUGAGGUGCGAAAGCGUGGGGAGCAAACAGG